AAUGCGUAGAGAUCAGGAGAACAUCCGUGACGAAGGCGACUGGUGGCCAACACUGACAUGAGGCACGAAAGCGUGGGAGCAAACAGGAUUAGAUACCCUGGUAGUCCACGCCCUAAACGAUGCGAACUGGAUGUUGGGUGCAAUUGGCACGCAGUAUCGAAGCUAACGCGUUAAGUUCGCCGCCUGGGGAGUACGGUCGCAAGACUGAAACUCAAAGGAAUUGACGGGGGCCCGCACAAGCGGUGGAGUAUGUGGUUUAAUUCGAUGCAACGCGAAGAACCUUACCUGGCCUUGACAUGUCGCGAACUUUCCAGAGAUGGAUUGGUGCCUUCGGGAACGCGAACACAGGUGCUGCAUGGCGGUCGUCAGCUCGUGUCGUGAGAUGUUGGGUUAAGUCCCGCAACGAGCGCAACCCUUGUCUUUAGUUGCCAGCACGUAAUGGUGGGAACUCUAAGGAGACCGCCGGUGACAAACCGGAGGAAGGUGGGGAUGACGUCAAGUCAUCAUGGCCCUUACGGCCAGGGCUACACACGUACUACAAUGGUGGGGACAGAGGGCUGCAAGCCGGCGACGGUAAGCCAAUCCCAGAAACCCUAUCUCAGUCCGGAUUGGAGUCUGCAACUCGACUCCAUGAAGUCGGAAUCGGUAGUAAUCGCAGAUCAGCAUUGGUGCGGUGAAUACGUUCCCGGGCCUUGUACACACCGCCCGUCACACCAUGGGAGUUUGUUGCACCAGAAGCAGGUAG
rnacentral:rRNA from 1 species